AUUGAACGCUGGCGGCAGGCCUAAAACAUGCAAGUCGAACGAGUGGCGGACGGGUGAGUAAUGUCUGGGAAACUGCCAGAUGGAGGGGGAUAACUACUGGAAACGGUAGCUAAUACCGCAUACCAUCGGAUGUGCCCAGAUGGGAUUAGCUAGUAGGUGGGGUAACGGCUCACCUAGGCGACGAUCCCUAGCUGGUCUGAGAGGAUGACCAGCCACACUGGAACUGAGACACGGUCCAGACUCCGACGUGAGGCAGCAGUGGGGAAUAUUUCACAAUGGGCGCAAGCCUGAUGCAGCCAUGCCGCUUGUAGGAAGAAGGCCGUCGGGUUGGAAAGAACUUUCAGCGAGGAGGUGUUACUCGCAGAAGAAGCACCGGCUAACUUCGUGUCAGCAGCCGCGGUAAUUC
rnacentral:rRNA from 1 species